rnacentral:rRNA from 1 species
AUUGAACGCUAGCGGGAUGCUUUACACAUGCAAGUCGAACGGAGUGGCGGACGUGUGAGUAAUAUAUCUGACCGUUCCCAGUAGCGUGGGUUACCUACUCGAAAGUGUGGCUAAUACCGCCUACUUUUGCAUCGGCCGAUUUCGGAGUAGCUAGUUGGUGGGGUAAAGGCUCACCAAGGCAACGAUCCGUAGCUGGUUUGAGAGGACGAACAGCCACACUGGGACUGAGACACGGCCCAGACUCCUACGGGAGGCAGCAGUGGGGAAUUUUGGACAAUGGGGGAAACCCUGAUCCAGCCAUGCCGCGUGUAUGAUGAAGGCCUUCGGGUUGUAAAGUACUUUUGGCAGAGAAGCGGUAUCUGCAGAAUAAGCACCGGCUAACUACGUGCCAGCAGCCGCGGUAAUAC